UACGAAGGGGGCUAGCGUUGCUCGGAAUCACUGGGCGUAAAGGGUGCGUAGGCGGGUCUUUAAGUCAGGGGGUGAAAUCCUGGAGCUCAACUCCAGAACUGCCUUUGAUACUGAAGAUCUUGAGUUCGGGAGAGGUGAGUGGAACUGCGAGUGUAGAGGUGAAAUUCGUAGAUAUUCGCAAGAACACCAGUGGCGAAGGCGGCUCACUGGCCCGGUACUGACGCUGAGGUGCGAAAGCGUGGGGAGCAAACAGG
rnacentral:rRNA from 1 species